rnacentral:tRNA from 1 species
GAAGGUAUAGCUCAGUGGGAGAGCACGAGCUUAGCAUGCACAAGGUCCUGGGUUCAACCCCCAGUGCCUCCA